CGGUACAGGCGUGCAAACCCGAAUUCACUAAACCAAGUACUGCAGUAGUUUAUGGUUUGUAACUAUCUAAUUAUUACAAAAAAAUUGCAGCUCGUUUUUUACUAUUCAGCGAGCAUUAUUUAAACACAACUAACGAGGCGAUAGAUAGGUCUGCACGCUUUACUGCGAGUGCUAGAAUAGAUUUUAUUAGGUAUGAAAGACUGUUGUAUAAGACCAGAGACAUGCAAAAAACAGAUCAAGUAUUUAAUACAAAACUAUGAGAUGAUUGGAAGCGGAACCAAGGAGUCACAGAUGCUCUGAUCCAAGUAUAGAGCAUUGUAUUGAACUCGCAGGAAUACUGCAGCAAUGUUUCAAGCGUAUUACUGUAUUAUCAAACUCAUCACAACCUGAAACGCUAGAUCCCUGUACGGGAGAAGCACUAAUAACAUAUUGUGCAAGAUUGAAGGUGCAUACAGGCACGCAUGUGUAAAUGCACGAAUCUGUAAACACACCUGUUUCAGUUCAGACUGCACAAUCUGUAUUAAAAUAUCACAAACGGCAGGUACAGUAGCAGACUUGCAUGGUCCUUGAACUGAAUCUCCUAUCAUAACUAUGAAUUGUCGGACCAGUUUAGGCAGAAUUAGCUGUAAACAUUGCAGAAUGUAUAAGAGCUGAAAGGAAGAAUGGUUACCGAAUAGAGUACUAUAAUGCAGUUUGAUGUAGCAUAUGUUUCACCAAAUGAUUUGUAACUGCUGUACUGCACAUGGUUUUAACAAUUUAUGCAGCAGUUCAUCUUUCCAUCACUGGUGGGCUAAAGCAAACCACUCCUUUAAAUGAAAUUGACAGUCUGACCUGCUUGACACAACUUUCCCACAGUAAAGUGUUCUCAUUCAAAUCCCAAUUGCCUACCUAUUUUUCAACCAAAGAGGUUGGAGCACAAGGAGGUUAAGUGACUUGCUCAGGGUCACACACAGUGAGUCAGUCAGUGGCAGAGGUGGGAUUUGAACUGGUGACCUUCUGGUUACAAGCCCUGGACUUUAACCACUGGACCACACUGCCUCCUACGACCGCAGAGAGAGGAAGCUGCCUACAAAUGUAAGGAAGAAAUAGAUCACAUCAUCUGUGUGUCCACGGGCUUCCUUUGGGCAU